ACACGUAGGGGGCGAGCGUUGUCCGGAAUUACUGGGCGUAAAGGGCAUGUAGGCGGUCAUACAAGUCAGGUGUGAAACACCUGGGCUCAACUUAGGUAUUGCACAUGAAACUGUAUGACUUGAGAACAGGAGAGGGUAGUGGAAUUCCCGGUGUAGCGGUGAAAUGCGUAGAUAUUGGGAAGAACACCAGUGGCGAAGGCGACUGCCUGGCCUGUAUCUGACGCUGAGGUGCGAAAGCCAGGGUAGCGAACGGGAUUAGAUACCCCGGUAGUCCUGGCUGUAAACGAUGGUCACUAGGUGUUGGUGGUGGUUAGCCAUCAGUGCCGCAGCGAACGCAUUAAGUGACCCGCCUGGGGAUUACGACCGCAAGGUUGAA
rnacentral:rRNA from 1 species